CACUAUAAUGAGUACUGUCCGGAAAUUAAAAAUGAAUUCGGAGAGUUUCAAAUUCUGAGAAUUUCAAAUUGAAGGCAAAAGAUGCAAAGAUGGAUGCAUAUAUGGUUAGGAGAAUGUUUCUAGACCUUGGUAUUUACUAGAGAUACAUUUAUUUAUGUAUGAGUUCUCAUAUAGUGUUUUAUUUAAAGUGCUUUACAAUAUAUGCAAGAACACUGGUAAUCACACAGACAGGAGAUAUAUAAUU